AUACUGAUGAAGAGUCCCAAAACAGGACGAAACAAAUGUCCGGUAC
rnacentral:hammerhead_ribozyme from 1 species